rnacentral:rRNA from 1 species
AUUGAACGCUGGCGGCAGGCCUAACGCAUGCAAGUCGAGCGGAUGAAGGGAGCUUGCUCCUGGAUUCAGCGGCGGACGGGUGAGUAAUGCCUAGGAAUCUGCCUGGUAGUGGGGGAUAACGUCCGGAAACGGGCGCUAAUACCGCAUACGUCCUGAGGGAGAAAGUGGGGGAUCUUCGGACCUCACGCUAUCCGAUGAGCCUAGGUCGGAUUAGCUAGUUGGUGGGGUAAAGGCCUACCAAGGCGACGAUCCGUAACUGGUCUGAGAGGAUGAUCAGUCACACUGGAACUGAGACACGGUCCAGACUCCUACGGGAGGCAGCAGUGGGGAAUAUUAGACAAUGGGCGAAAGCCUGAUCCAGCCAUGCCGCGUGUGUGAAGAAGGUCUUCGGAUUGUAAAGCACUUUAAGUUGGGAGGAAGGGCAGUAAGUUAAUACCUUGCUGUUUUGACGUUACCAACAGAAUAAGCACCGGCUAACUUCGUG